UACGUAGGGUGCAAGCGUUGUCCGGAAUUAUUGGGCGUAAAGAGCUCGUAGGCGGUUUGUCGCGUCCGCUGUGAAACUCGGGGCUUAACCCCGGAGCCCGUGCAGUGGAUACGGGCAGACUAGAGGUAGGUAGGGGAGAAGUGGAAUUCCCGGUGUAGCGGUGAAAUGCGACAGAUAUCGGGAGGAACACCGGUGGCGAAGG
rnacentral:rRNA from 1 species